rnacentral:rRNA from 1 species
UACAGAGACUGCAAGCGUUAUUCGGAUUCACUGGGCGUAAAGGGUGCGCAGGCGGCCAAGUGUGUCAGGUGUGAAAUCCCGAGGCUUAACCUCGGAACUGCGCCUGAAACUACUUGGCUAGAGUACUGGAGAGGGUAACGGAAUUCACGGUGUAGCAGUGAAAUGCGUAGAGAUCGUAAGGAAGACCAGUGGCGAAGGCGGGUCUCUGGGCCGAUACUGACGCUGAGGAGCGAAAGCGUGGGGAGCGAACAGG